rnacentral:lncRNA from 1 species
CAGUUAAAUGUGUGAAAUAGUUGUUAAUUAAAUGAAUAUACUUUUUCAUGCAUCGAUCCACAUAUCAAGGAUGACGUUGGCCGAUGUUAUUAUUCUGGCGGAGGUCACAUGAAGGUUGGACAAUUCCCUUGUCCAAUAUCCCUUGUCUGGGGAUAUACUUGUGUUUUUCUUGAGUGGAGUCGAUUAGUUUUGGCUAUUUAAACAUGAAUAUUGUUAUCAAACUGCUAUUUAUGCUUGUCAAUUUGAAAUGUACAUUGUUAAAGUUAUUUUUUUGCCUUAUAUAUAAUUUUUACAUUCUACAUGUAGUGAAUUUUAAGUCUACUUAUGUUUGCAUCUGCAGGUUGUUCAAGUCAAUACAAUGGUUGAUGGUGCAAUAUGAAAUUUGUAGAAAUUAACUUGUAUCAAAGUAUGUUGAUUGCCAUACUCUUAGG